rnacentral:rRNA from 1 species
AACGAACGCUGGCGGCAGGCUUAACACAUGCAAGUCGAACGGGUGUAGCAAUACAUCAGUGGCAGACGGGUGAGUAACACGUGGGAACCUUCCUCGUUGUACGGAACAACUCAGGGAAACUUGAGCUAAUACCGUAUACGUCCGAGAGGAGAAAGAUUUAUCGCGAUGAGACGGGCGCGCGUCGGAUUAGCUAGUUGGUGGGGUAAUGGCCUACCAAGGCGACGAUCCGUAGCUGCUCUGAGAGGAGGAUCAGCCACACUGGGACUGGGACACGGGCCAGAGCCCUACGGGAGCCGUCAGUGGGGAGUCGUGGACAAUGGGCGCAAGCCUGAGCCAGCCAUGCCGCGUGAGUGAAGAAGGCCUUAAGGUUGUAAAGCUCUUUUGCCAGGGACGAUAAUGACGGUACCUGGAGAAUAAGCCCCGGCAAACUUCGUGCCAGCCGCCGCCGUAAUAC